GAUCAUCAAAAUGGCGAAAGUUGACUGCAUGUCAUCUUUCCAACUAGUAAACACUAGGUACGAAACACCUUACAAUACCUUUUGCAGCUAGAGCCGUUGGAAGGUAUUUAUCCUUAUGUUUGCCUGUGUGAAGGGAGGUUUAAUCUAUUUUUGCCGAAACGAUCGAUUCGGUAGGGGUACCAUCCUGUCAUGGGUCCUGCAUGAAGUCCACUCGUUGACGUUGAGAGGAUGUACCAAAUCCUUCGUCGUUUUUAAACCCUCUCUCUCUCUCUCUCUCUCUCUCUCUCUCUCUCUCUCUCUCUCUCUCUCUCUCUCUCUCUCUCUCUCUCUCUUCUGCUUUUGACGAAGCUCCCACUGGACACAUUGAAACAUUAAAUGUUGUGAUGCUCUAACCGUCAGGAUUUGUUAUACACAAUUUUGGUGUAAAUUAAAAAAUAAUGUUUGAAAAAACUUAAUUUUUAGCUAAAGAAGAAACCCAUUUUCACAAUAAUGAGGCUUAUUGUUAUUUCUUGCAUAAACCCUUGACAAAAGUGAGCUCAUGAGACACAUUACACCAUCAUUAAAAAUAAAACACCCAAUGAAAUCGCAGCGUGUAUUUGUUCUUUACAUUGUUAAAGUUUAAAGGCCGAACAUUUUACAAACGCCCCCUUUUUUACCUGUACAAACUUCAAAAUGAUGCCGCUUGUCAAUCAAGUUUGAACGAUAGCACCCAUUUCGAUGGACGUGAUCGUCCGAAAGUGAUCUGGCCAGGUCCGCUGAUUUCUGUUUGCUAGCAAUUAACAACGUUAUCUUUGAUAUCUUCCGUCACGUAUAAAAAAGGGGAAUUAAAAUUGAACUUUUAACAUUACCGGUAUUAACAUUGUUUUAUAGAAAAUAAAAGUCAGUAAUUGAAAAUAUGCAAUUUAUAUUUGUAUGUGACCUACUAAAUUCCACGAAGAUGCAUAAGCAGUUCCAAAACAUGU
rnacentral:sRNA from 1 species